UAUUCUGUUAGUAAAUAUGGAUGUUCAAUAAUUAUUUCAUAAGGUACUUAAUCCAAUUCUUUCCUGCUUACUGACAUGAAGAUGUUUCAAAACUUUCAAAAAAAAAAAAGAAAAAAAGAUGUUUCAAAAUGCACAUAUUCAUCAAUUUGUUUUCUCAAUUCCUCUUAAAUUAAUCCUCUGUAGUUUUGGACGAUAAGCAGGCUGUCAAUGGAUCUGGGGAGUAUGAACCUAAAAGAAACUGGUAGUCAAUGUUCUUCUGCUCUACAAGAUGAGCUUCGACUUGCAGAGGAGAGGUUUGAGGAAGCAGAGGCAAUGCCAUAAUCCCAUACUCCCAGUUCGACCCAGUUCGAAAACUUGGUUGGAUGACAGACGUAGCUAAUGCCAUAAUCCCAACAUACCGAUGAUUGCAAUGCAUAUGCAUGUGCGGCUCAUAUUCGAUCAAGUGUAUAACAUCUCGACAAUAUGUGCGGUGCUUGCCUACAUUUAAUAGUGAUAAGCUCUUAGUAUCUGUCAUCUGAUGUAUGUCAUCAAUUUCAUGCGAUUGGCCUGCAAAUGAUGUACUGGACUUGUUGAUAUGUUGUAAUGUACAUGUGUAGAAUUUAGGUGGUCUUUAUUGAUGUGAUCAAAAUGUAAUUUUGUUAGUAAUGUGAUCAAAAUGUAAUUUUAUUA